rnacentral:lncRNA from 1 species
CCACCACAUUAAAAGUGAGCAUAGGUUGUCUGUGUUAAUUAAUUAAUAAAAUAAAGACUGUGUGCAUGAUUGUGGAAAUAAACAAUGAGAGGCGACCUAGACUUGGAAAUCCUUAGAAAUCCCUAAAAGCUAGCACGCAUGGAAUACGCACGUAGAUGGCGAGAUCAUAAAAACACAGAAUGAGAGGGACAGCAAAAGGGAGUGUACUGGCAUCGACAUCGGGAUUAAGUGGAUGAUAGCUGGACAGCCGAUCGAUGAGAGAUGUAUGUGGACAAGGUAUAUUAUCAUUAUUAUUUUAUUUAUUUCUUAUAUAUGUACGAUUGUACUUGUAGCUGGCUGGAGAAACUGGAUAUAUAUCCAUAGCUGUUGGUGACGAAUAUGAAUUAAAGGGCAUCCAUCCAAAAGAGAAGGGGAAAAGAAAUACUUUUUGACCC